GAAGUGAGCCAGACGAUCGCUGCUGUGGAAAUCUCCGUGAUUGAAGCAGGGGAGGAAAGUCCGGGCUUCAUAGGGCAAGGUGCCAGGUAACGCCUGGGCGGCGCGAGCCGACGGAAAGUGCAACAGAAAGAUACCGCCGAACGGUCCCCCGGGAUGCGUGGCAAGGGUGAAAUGGUGCGGUAAGAGCGCACCGCGAGCCUGGUAACAGGCCGGCACGGCAAACCCCACCGGGAGCAAGACCGAAUAGGGACCCCAUGACGUUG
rnacentral:RNase_P_RNA from 1 species